UGACUGAAUGGCAAGAGCAGUUACUUUUUAAUGUUCAAACAAGCCAUGUUGUCAGUCAGUUCACAGACCACAGAGCAAAGGUCUUCAAUUAUAUCCACACUGGACUGGUGUGGCUGCAGGUUUUCUUUCCUAUCAAGCAGGAGCCACACCUGAUUCCACUUGAGUAAUCAGUUCAUCUUGGUCUCCAAUCAAGUAUAAAGUGUACCUCCUAUUUGGCUGGAAUGAAAAUGUGUAGCUACUCCAGCCUUUGUGGAUAAGACAGAAGACUCCUGCCAUAGAGGUUAAAAAAAAUCUGUGGCAUAAUCUGCUACUUUCAGAAUCUUGGCCUCCAACAAUGCUGAAACCCAGACCCUAGACGUAAAGGAAAAGACAAAGGGGUUGCUGUGCAUUAGUACUUGAGUUGAGCUACAACUGGGACAAUGUUGGAGAUAAUAGAUGGCUGGGCCAGUCGCCAUGGAGACUCCACUUGAACAGUACUUAGAGAACGUGCCGAUUUCUUCACGAUUUGAUAUUCCUGGAUGAGAUGACAAAGAAAACCAUGAAUAAAGCAUGGGGAAGGCGGCACAUCCUGAGCUGAACACGUGCUCACAAGGUCAGGGAGGCUGCUCGAUGGGUAUUUGUGGAAGUCCACUUCAGACUCAUCCUGAGCCACCACCAGCUGCACAAGGCCUGCAGUGGAACGAAGGACAGCCACGGCCUCCUGAUGUGAGAGGCCAACCAAAGACUGACCGUUGAUCAUCAGAAGCUCAUCACCAGCCUUCAGUCGUCCGUCCCUUU